rnacentral:rRNA from 1 species
UACGAAGGGUGCAAGCGUUACUCGGAAUACUGGGCGUAAAGCGUGCGCAGGCGGUGAUGUAAGACAGGUGUGAAAUCCCCGGGCUUAACCUGGGAACUGCAUUUGUGACUGCAUCGCUGGAGUGCGGCAGAGGGGGAUGGAAUUCCGCGUGUAGCAGUGAAAUGCGUAGAUAUGCGGAGGAACACCGAUGGCGAAGGCAAUCCCCUGGGCCUGCACUGACGCUCAUGCACGAAAGCGUGGGGAGCAAACAGG